ACGGGUGAGUAAUGCCUAGGAAUCUGCCUGGUAGUGGGGGAUAACGCUCGGAAACGGACGCUAAUACCGCAUACGUCCUACGGGAGAAAGCAGGGGACCUUCGGGCCUUGCGCUAUCAGAUGAGCCUAGGUCGGAUUAGCUAGUUGGUGAGGUAAUGGCUCACCAAGGCGACGAUCCGUAACUGGUCUGAGAGGAUGAUCAGUCACACUGGAACUGAGACACGGUCCAGACUCCUACGGGAGGCAGCAGUGGGGAAUAUUGGACAAUGGGCGAAAGCCUGAUCCAGCCAUGCCGCGUGUGUGAAGAAGGUCUUCGGAUUGUAAAGCACUUUAAGUUGGGAGGAAGGGCAGUAACCUAAUACGUUAUUGUUUUGACGUUACCGACAGAAUAAGCACCGGCUAACUCUGUGCCAGCAGCCGCGGUAAUACAGAGGGUGCAAGCGUUAAUCGGUAUUACUGGGCGUAAAGCGCGCGUAGGUGGUUUGUUAAGUUGAAUGUGAAAUCCCCGGGCUCAACCUGGGAACUGCAUCCAAAACUGGCAAGCUAGAGUAGGGCAGAGGGUGGUGGAAUUUCCCUGUGUAGCG
rnacentral:rRNA from 1 species